AGAUUAGUAAGUUAAGUAAACUGCGGGGUUCAUGAUUCCGUUAUACGCAUAGGUGUCUAGUCGA
rnacentral:tRNA from 1 species